GCGGAGGAUGAUCCCAUUUUUAACUCGUAACACUUCGGUGUGCUGAAGAUUAAAAUUGCAACAACAACACUCUAAUUUUUUGCUGACG
rnacentral:snoRNA from 1 species